AAUGUGUUUGUAUUAAAUACUAGUCUUUAAGCAGAAGAGCUGAUAGGUUACAGAGCAUGCAAGUUCAUUUCAUAUAAAUAAUCCAUCAUGAGGAUUAUUAAGGUUUGCACAGCUAACUUUAAAUAAAGGAUUUAGCCUGCCUUUCUAGAAAGUGAAAACUGAAUAGUCAAUUUCCAGUUAUUUGAACUGUUAUUAAAAUUCUCAUUCGUUGUGUCCCAAUGUCCUUCUCAUUUCUCUGCAUUUGCUACUUUCAGUCAGGUCCCCACAUUCCUAAUCAAGAGCCAGGUCCUCCACUCUGCAGAGCCUGUAGCCUCCAUUUAUUCUAAGCAUCCAUUGCUCUUUCCCCUGGCUCUCUGCGUCUCACAGCCCCCAGACCUUCAGAGUGCAGUUCUUUCCCCCAGGCCUCGGCACACUUGCCACCGGAGAAGCAGCAGAUGCACAGCGAGGAGGACACGAAUAAUACACCUGCUUAACCCCAUCCCAGCUCGCAUGUCAUAGAAAACAACCAUGUUGCAGGGAGCGCAUCUUAACCGUGUCUGUCAAGCUGCUAAGUGGCAGGACCACUCAUCACUGCCUGGACGCGGAUGCUAACAGAGCAGUAGUGACCAGGAGGACAGACAGCUUAUACGCAGGCUUGAAAGCAAAAUAAGAGAAGGCAGGCUGUUUAGGGCAGCAGAGCUGAUGGAGCCAACCAACACUGACAGAAUGGUCUCAACCAGUUUGUGUGUGUCUCUGGAAUCCUGCCCAUUUCCAUCCUCCAGAGACAAAAAGGACCAACCUCUAUGUCACCUUAGCGAUGAACCUUUCCCCGAGUCUUAAACCUGGACCCAGGUAUUCCUAUAUUCAGCAAAGUGUUAUUUCUGUCUCUUCUAAAAUUCCAGUUCUAAAUACACUCAUGGCUCAUCAUUCAUUCAGACCACAAAUAUUUACUAAGGAAGUGCAUGCCAGGUGAUGAAGCUACAAGUGAACGAGACAUGGCCCCUCUCAAGCCACAGGACACAAACAAACCUAGGGGCAGUUCUUAAUAACAUGGUGUUAAGUGCUGUGAUGGAGGGAAACGCGGGAAAUAGCCCCACUCACACCACAAAGGAGGGUUUUCUGGGGGAAAGGAGUCCCCCAGCUCCGUUAUGAAGGACAAACAGAGUCAGUCAGGCGGAGGAUUAAGGGUGCAGGGGAAAAAAAUGACAUUUCAGGAAAAAGCAUGUGCCACUUAAAAAAUAUAUUUUCUAAUUUGGGAGAGAAAUGACAAAGAUGCGUUCCGAGGGCAUAAAGGGGAGAAAGUCAAGGGAUAUUUAGAAGAAGGUAAGAUUUAGAGAACUUGGUGACCAACUAGCAGGAGGUGAGAGAAUGAGUCAAAGAUAACUUAAUACACGUUUUAUCCUUCUGCACAACUGUCUACGUUUUCUUAUCCUAUUCGGAUGCAAACGCCUUGGGACAAAGGAUCCCACCCUUUAGCACUAUAUGAGGCAUGUAAUGGGUGUUCAAUGUAAUCAUUUUUUAUAGAUUUCCCAUUACUGUAACCCUGGUUACAAACAUUAACGUAUCUAGCUAAACAACCAAGACAUUUUCUUGAGAAAAGCAGUAUUUUAAGAACUAUCAAAGGACAGUACUGAUACAGAAAACUUAGUUAAAAACUUCCUGA
rnacentral:lncRNA from 1 species